rnacentral:rRNA from 1 species
UACGAAGGGGGCUAGCGUUGCUCGGAAUUACUGGGCGUAAAGGGCGCGUAGGCGGCACUGUUAGUCAGGCGUGAAAGUCCUGGGCUCAACCUGGGAACUGCGCUUGAUACGGCAGAGCUAGAGGAUGGAAGAGGCUCGCGGAAUUCCCAGUGUAGCGGUGAAAUGCGUAGAUAUUGGGAGGAACACCAGUGGCGAAGGCGGCUCACUGGACCGGAACUGGAC